AUGCGCAUAGAUAAGCAGGGCAAAUCGCUGUACUAAUCACAGCGAUUUACUCUGUUUCAGCGAUUUGCCCUGGACUACGCGGCAAGCUACGCAGGCGCAGGCAUCGCAGGGUAGAUCGCUGCAGUGUAAUCGCAGCGAUUUGCUCUGUUUUAGCGAUUUGCCCUGAUGACUGAUUUGUUGUACACAGUUUUUGCUCGUCUCGGAAAGGGUGGAGUAUACGAGUAUCAUCUCUACCUCUAGACGUCCAAACUCCUCAUAUUGCAAACUAAGCUGCAGCAACAACAACAACAACAACAAACAACAACAACAAAAACAAAGCACAACUUCAAGGCUGCAGCAGGGAACUGUUCUAGAUAGAUAGAUGUGUUGAAUAUUUCUAAUGUUUGUUUUAAAUCAAUUAUAAAUUGAAUUCUA